GGCCUGCCUUGGAGGAAAUGAGGAGGGUUAAACGAGUGAAGACACCACGCUCACUCAGAGGGUUUCUGGACUCAAAACUACCUUCUCCUUCACAUGGAUCACACUUCAUCUUGUUGACGUAAAGACUGCGGAACCCUCUCAACCCAGAGGCCAUUCAGAGGCUGUGUGAUAGUCUAGCCAGCAUGGUGACCAUAUGUUUGUGCCUUAGCGGUCCACUUGGGAGAUCUUGGGGUCUUUGUGGUGGGGGUGGGGUGGGUGGGGUCAUGAUACUAUUAACUUAUCAAAAAGCAUUUCUUCUGAAUAAAACAUGCUAAAUCCACCAGAAGGUGUUUUUAAAAGUCAUUUCUAAGUCACUGGAGAUUUCAAGUAAGCCCAGUGUCCCUAAGGGGGAAAACAUCACUGACUGAAUCUUUCGGAAAAGAGAGAAAAACCAGGGCCCCGGAAUGACCCGUCACCUGCCAAUACUUUGAAAGAAACCAGUGUGCAGUUUGACCUCCGGGGCAGAGGUCACAUGGUUGAGGUGGGUAGAGAUAGAGUGACUCACAGCCCAGACAGCCAAUCCAGACCCCAGGGGACUUCCUUUUAAUGGGGCCUGCUCAGAUGCUGGAGGAUUUGAGUGAAACCAGAGCCAGCUGGGUGGGAAUGAGAGGAUUACGAAGCCAAGUACAAAGCGGGAGCCAUUUUCCUUUUCCUUUCACACGUGCCGUUGGAUCAGAAAAUUGAGAGAGGGUUAAAGAUAAUUAAAAAGCUCUCCCAAAUGGCGCAGGGUCCCUAGGAGGCUGCAGCCCCUAAUGGCUGAGAGUGAGGUACCAUGGGUGGGAAGAAGAGCAGAGGGCGCGUGGUUGUCGGAGCUUGGCCCAUGCGGGUUUCCUUUGCUUUCCAAAUCACAAAGCAGAAGUGGCUCAGCCCAGAACUCACCUCCAUCUAAACCAGCUACGUGUGCGGAGGCUGGAGGGUCCCACCACAGAAGGACGGUUCCACCAUGCCCUCCCUUCCAGGAUAAACUGCCAGAGAUCACGAAGCGAAACAAAUCCGGCAUGAAAGGGAGCAAACAGAAGGACCGACCAGGGCGUACUUUGAGUUGAUCACCAUGGACUGGGACUUUAGGGGAUGGCUUUAGAUACGUCUCCCGUGAAAGGGGCGUGUGCCUUCUUUCCUUAAAUCUGUGUGGCCCACGUCACCUCCAAGGCUAGGCUAUCAAAUGGUACGUGGAACCUGGCCAGCUGUUGCUCCUCCUUCCUCCUUGUAGACUGUGUUUUGGGAGAGUUUGGAUUUGGGUUUUCUCUCGACAACAGCAGGGAGCUAGAGACCUUGGUAGAUACCGUGCCCUUGGCUUCAGAGGCUGGAUUAGGGACAAACAUGUAAGACUCAUAUUUGGAACUUAGGUUUAAACUAUGGGGUAGACAACAAAACAACAACAACAACAAGCUCCCAGGACUCCUGAAAAUGCAAACAGUUGCCAUCAGGACAGAGUGGUCCACACGAUGGUCACUUCAUUAGAGGUCUGAGAUGGUCCACUGGCGCUAACUUCCUGGGGAAAGAGUCCGGCAAGAAGGUCCCCACAUCUGCUCCUGUCAGAACAGAACACCGUCUCCUAACUGGGACUUGGUGGUGCUCUCACGUCUGUGGACUGUGGUCGGGAUGACAGGGAGCUAGACAGUCAUCUGACUUUGCAGAUGUCUCUACCGAUGCCCCACUGUGACUAUGGAGACCCCAGAAGCUGGGCCACGCCUGGAAGUUAAUAGUCUCAUCCUCGUUCAUCUUGCCCUAGAAGACAAAAAUAAACGUUGUGCACAUAUGGUUAUUAAUGUAAUAUGUAUAUAAUAAAUAUGCGUUUAGCUAUUA